rnacentral:misc_RNA from 1 species
GCUAACCAUUCAUGCUCCUUGGAGUCCUCAUUUUUAAGUUAAAAAUCCAAUUUCAUUCACUGAAGCAGAUCAAAAUUGAUUGGAGCAAAGCUGAUUCCAAGAAUUUCAUGUGUAUAUUUUACACAGAUCAUAAGCUUUCGCAAGAAAUUCGAUCAACUGAUCUGCAUCAGGGUUGUCUUGGAGUUCUAGGCUCUUGUAAAAUCUCCUUUUGGCUUCUAUCUUGUAAAAUUUCUUUUUCAAAUUUCCAAAAACAACUUAAUAUUCCAUUUCCA